GAUGAACGCUGGCUACAGGCUUAACACAUGCAAGUCGAGGGGAAACGGCAUUGGGUGUUUGCACCGAAUGGACGUCGACCGGCGCACGGGUGAGUAACGCGUAUCCAACCUUCCCGUUACUGCGGGAUAACCUGCCGAAAGGCAGACUAAUACCGCAUGUUCUUCGAUGACGGCAUCAGAUUCGAAGCAAAGAUCCGUCGGUAACAGAGGGGGAUGCGUCUGAUUAGCUUGUUGGCGGGGCGACGGCCCACCAAGGCGACGAUCAGUAGGGGUUCUGAGAGGAAGGUCCCCCACAUUGGAACUGAGACACGGUCCAAACUCCUACGGGAGGCAGCAGUGAGGAAUAUUGGUCAAUGGGCGGAAGCCUGAACCAGCCAAGUAGCGUGCAGGAGGACGGCCCUAUGGGUUGUAAACUGCUUUUAUGCGGGGAUAAAGUGAGGGACGCGUCCCUUUUUGCAGGUACCGCAUGAAUAAGGACCGGCUAAUUCCGUGCCAGCAGCCGCGGUAAUACGGAAGGUCCGGGCGUUAUCCGGAUUUAUUGGGUUUAAAGGGAGCGUAGGCCGGGGAUUAAGUGUGUUGUGAAAUGUAGGCGCCCAACGUCUGACUUGCAGCGCAUACUGGUUCCCUUGAGUACGCGCAACGCCGGCGGAAUUCGUCGUGUAGCGGUGAAAUGCUUAGAUAUGACGAAGAACCCCGAUUGCGAAGGCAGCCGGCGGGAGCGCAACUGACGCUGAAGCUCGAAGGUGCGGGUAUCGAACAGG
rnacentral:rRNA from 1 species